rnacentral:rRNA from 1 species
UAGGGAAUCUUCGGCAAUGGGGGGAACCCUGACCGAGCAACGCCGCGUGAGUGAAGAAGGUUUUCGGAUCGUAAAGCUCUGUUGUUAAGGAAGAACGAGUGUGAGAAUGGAAAGUUCAUGCUGUGACGGUACUUAACCAGAAAGGGACGGCUAACUACGUGCCAGCAGCCGCGGUAAUACGUAGGUCCCGAGCGUUGUCCGGAUUUAUUGGGCGUAAAGCGAGCGCAGGCGGUUAGAAAAGUCUGAAGUGAAAGGCAGUGGCUCAACCAUUGUAGGCUUUGGAAACUGUUUAACUUGAGUGCAGAAGGGGGGAGUGGAAUUCCAGGUGUAGCGGUGAAAUGCGUAGAUAUAUGGAGGAACACCGGUGGCGAAAGCGGCUCUCUGGUCUGUAACUGACGCUGAGGCUCGAAAGCGUGGGGAGCGAACAGG